rnacentral:rRNA from 1 species
CCCUUAGACGUUCUGGGCCGCACGCGCGCUACACUGACGAAGGCAACGAGCUUUCCUUUACCGAAAGGUACGGGUAAUCUUUUGAAACUUCGUCGUGCUGGGGAUAGAUCCUUGCAAUUUUUGAUCUUAAACGAGGAAUGCCCAGUAAGCGCAAGUCAUCAACUUGCGUUGAUUACGUCCCUGCCCUUUGUACACACCGCCCGUCGCUACUACCGAUUGAAUGGUUUAGUGAGGCCUUCGGAUCCGCGACUCGUUUGUGGAGAAGUUGGACAAACUCAGUCAUUUAGAGGAAGUAAAAGUCGUAACA